rnacentral:rRNA from 1 species
AGGGUGCAGUGCCAGAUCUGUGGAAAGAUGGGCCACCCAGCAUGGAAGUGCUGGAAACGCUACGACGAGUCCUGCCAAGGAGGAGAAGAGAAGUCAGCCAAACUCGCAGCGCCACAGUAUGGGGUGGACACCAACUGGUAUCUUGACAGUGGUGCCACCGACCAUAUCACAGGCGAUCUGGAGAAGCUGGGCGUGCGAGACCGCUACCAAGGCAACGAGCAGAUUCACAUCGCGAGUGGUUCAGGUAUGGAUAUUAAACACAUUGGUCAUUCAGCUAUUCACACCCAAGAUCGUGAUCUUUUUCUGAAUAAUAUCCUUCAUGUACCCGAAGCAAACAAAAGCCUAAUCUCUGCUAGCCGCCUUGCCAUUGACAAUGAUUCCUUUGUUGAAAUUCAUCCCUAUUCUUUUUUUGUCAAGGAACGGGGAACGAGGAAGGUACUCCUUCGAGGCAGGGGUAGGAGAGGUCUCUACCCACUUAGGCACACGGGAUCCGACGUCAACAUGCAAGUGCUAAGUGCCACCAAGCUGUCUUCACAUAGGUGGCAUCGACGUUUAGGGCAUCCUUCUUCUGUUAUCGUCCAGAAAGUCAUUGUUCAAAAUAAUCUCCCGUGUGCUAGUUAUCUCAAUAAUGAGUUUGUAUGUGACGCCUGUCAAAAAGGCAAAAGUCACCAACUUCCUUAUCCAAAUUCAAUAAGUGAAUCAAAGUUCCCUUUAGAACUUGUGUUCUCUGAUGUGUGGGGUCCUGCUGUUGAAACAUUAGGAAGAAAGCAAUAUUAUGUUAGCUUCAUCGAUGAUUUC